rnacentral:lncRNA from 1 species
UGGGAUCUCUUAGGACAGCCCAAUGGAAAAUUUGAUUAUUUAGUCAAAUAUAGUCCACCAGAACAUUUUUCCUCAGAACAUUUUUCAAAUAACCCAGAACUUUCACAAGCCCAAGAAUUUCAAUCUAGUAAGGGAAAAGAAAAAAUGGUAGUCCAAGAUAGUCAAGAAUGUUUAUUUUUUCAAGAAUCACAAGAUCCUAAUCCAGAUACCGCUUCUUUAGAAAAGAUCUUUGAGAAAAUUGAAGAACUCCAAAAACAAUCUAAAAAAGAUGAAGGGACUUCUUCUAGAAAAAAGAAAAAGAUUAAGAAGAAGAAAAAUGAUGAAGGACUAAAAGAACAAAUAAGAGAAGCAGUUAACCAAGCAUUCGAGACAAUAUUAAAAAAGAGCCAUGAAGAAGAAAAAGAAAUUGCAGAAUGUCCAGAUCAGAAAAAAAAAGAUGAAGCCAGUAACUCCAGACUUUCAGAUGAAGACGAAGAUCCACAUGAAGAAGGAUACAAUAAUUCAGAUAGUGGAAUGUCAUUUUCAUCAGUGGCACGUCAUAAUCUCAGUACAUAAUCAGAUCCUCAAUAAUGUAGAACAAGACAAAAGUGAUGGAAGAAAAGAAGGAAAAGCUGAAGAUUCUUAUCACAAUACUAUAGACCUUUUGAUUAUUUUCAAAAAAGAUGUCAGAAACUUUUAGAAUUUUAAGCAAAUUAGUGGAAAUUUCAAGAUUCCUAAACUAUAGACUUUUAGACUUUUGUAAAAGUAGGAAAUUUUCUUUCCACUUGUUAGACUUAUCUUGAAUUAGCCAGAAGUUUCUCGAUGAAACGUGUGCUCUUUUCAAGGAUAUUUUAGACUUUUUGCUCCCAAGAAUUUUUCUAUUUAAGGAACAAGUUUCAUUUGGUUUAGGCAGAAGUUUACAACCUGUGUACUCUCUGCUAUCCAAAAACCUUUUGAAACCUUUCUCAGAAAAAUUCUCAAUCCAAAAAAUCAUUGUAUAGCUGAAUCAUCCUUGUGAAUACUUAAGGUAUUAUUGUAUUUCUUUAAGUUUAUUUUAGAACUUUAGGG